rnacentral:rRNA from 1 species
CCUACGGGGGGCAGCAGUGGGGGAUAUUGGACAGUGGGGGAAACCCUGAUCCAGCGACGCCGCGUGAGGGAAGAAGUAUUUCGGUAUGGAAAGCUCUAUCAGCAGGGAAGAAAGAAAUGACGGUACCUGAGGAAGAAGCCUCGGCUAACUACGUGCCAGCAGCCGCGGUAAUACGUAGGGGGCAAGCGUUCUCCGGAAUUACUGGGUGUAAAGGGAGCGUAGACGGUAAUGCAAGUCUGGAGUGAAAGGCGGGGGCCCAACCCCCGGACUGCUCUGGAAACUGUGUAACUGGAGUGCAGGAGAGGCAGGCGGAAUUCCUAGUGUAGCGGUGAAAUGCGUAGAUAUUAGGAGGAACACCAGUGGCGAAGGCGGCCUGCUGGACUGUAACUGACGCUGAGGCUCGAAAGCGUGGGGAGCAAACAGGAUUAGAUACCCUGGUAGUC